rnacentral:rRNA from 1 species
AUGGACUCGAAGCAGCAGCUCGCGCUCCGGCCGAUCUCGACCAAGAGAGGCUCCGGCGGCGACGGCAGGGCGGUGCUGGCGCGGGAGCCGUCGAGCCUCACGAACGCCUCCUUCAGGGUGUACUACAGCCUGCGCGCCGGCGCCGGCGCCGUGCCAUUCCUGUGGGAGUCCGCGCCCGGCACGCCAAAAAGGGGCGCGGCCGCCGUCUCCCCAGGAAAAGAGGCACGCAACGCCACGAUGGCGACGACGCGGGCGGGCGGCGGCGCUGCCGACGUGGGUGGUGGUGCUACGCUGCUGCUGCCGCCCAUCUCGCCGCCACCGUCGUACCAGUCCCAGCUGAAGGGGAAGAAGGGGUGCCGGCAGAAGGCGCAGUCGUGGCCGGGAGGCAUCGUGAGAGCGCUGCUCGGAGCGCUCUGUACGAGGAAGAGACGCCGGCGGUCGGCUCCGCAUCCCGCCUCCUAUUAUGGUGAGCUGCCGCUGCAUUGCUAG